AUUGAACGCUGGCGGCAGGCCUAACACAUGCAAGUCGAGCGGCAGCGGGAAAGUAGCUUGCUACUUUUGCCGGCGAGCGGCGGACGGGUGAGUAAUGCCUGGGAAAUUGCCCAGUCGAGGGGGAUAACAGUUGGAAACGACUGCUAAUACCGCAUACGCCCUACGGGGGAAAGCAGGGGACCUUCGGGCCUUGCGCGAUUGGAUAUGCCCAGGUGGGAUUAGCUAGUUGGUGAGGUAAUGGCUCACCAAGGCGACGAUCCCUAGCUGGUCUGGGAGGGUGAUCAGCCACACUGGAACUGAGACACGGUCCAGACUCCUACGGGAGGCAGCAGUGGGGAAUAUUGCAAAAUGGGGGAAACCCUGAUGCAGCCAUGCCGCGUGUGUGAAGAAGGCCUUCGGGUUGUAAAGCACUUUCAGCGAGGAGGAAAGGUUGAUGCCUAAUACGUAUCAACUGUGACGUUACUCGCAGAAGAAGCACCGGCUAACUCCGUGCCAGCAGCCGCCGUAAGAC
rnacentral:rRNA from 1 species